GACAGAGGCCCCGAGCGUUAGGCGGAAUCACUGGGCUUAAAGCGUGUGUAGGCGGGCCCGUAAGUGUCUUGUGAAAUCCCACGGCUCAACCGUGGAACUGCUGGGCAUACUGCGGGUCUUGGGCCAACUAGGGGCAGCCGGAACAAGCGGUGGAGCGGUGAAAUGCAUUGAGAUCGGAAAGAACACCAACGGCGAAAGCACUCUGCUGGGCCGACACUGACACUGAGAGACGAAAGCUAGGGGAGCAAAUGGG
rnacentral:rRNA from 1 species